UGUGACGUUACCAAACUGUUGCCUCGGCGGGAUCUCUGCCCCGGGUGCGUCGCAGCCCCGGACCAAGGCGCCCGCCGGAGGACCAACCUAAAACUCUUAUUGUAUACCCCCUCGCGGGUUUUUUUUAUAAUCUGAGCCUUCUCGGCGCCUCUCGUAGGCGUUUCGAAAAUGAAUCAAAACUUUCAACAACGGAUCUCUUGGUUCUGGCAUCGAUGAAGAACGCAGCGAAAUGCGAUAAGUAAUGUGAAUUGCAGAAUUCAGUGAAUCAUCGAAUCUUUGAACGCACAUUGCGCCCGCCAGUAUUCUGGCGGGCAUGCCUGUCCGAGCGUCAUUUCAACCCUCGAACCCCUCCGGGGGGUCGGCGUUGGGGAUCGGCCCUCCCUUAGCGGGUGGCCGUCUCCGAAAUACAGUGGCGGUCUCGCCGCAGCCUCUCCUGCGCAGUAGUUUGCACACUCGCAUCGGGAGCGCGGCGCGUCCACAGCCGUUAAACACCCAACUUCUGAAAUGUUGACCUCGGAUCAGGUAGGAAUACCCGCUGAACUUAAGCAUAUC
rnacentral:rRNA from 1 species